UACGGAGGGGGCUAGCGUUGUUCGGAAUCACUGGGCGUAAAGGGUGCGUAGGCGGGUCUUUAAGUCAGGGGUGAAAUCCUGGAGCUCAACUCCAGAACUGCCUUUGAUACUGAAGAUCUUGAGUUCGGGAGAGGUGAGUGGAACUGCGAGUGUAGAGGUGAAAUUCGUAGAUAUUGCAAGAACACCAGUGGCGAAGGCGGCUCACUGGCCCGAUACUGACGCUGAGGAGCGAAAGCGUGGGGAGCGAACAGG
rnacentral:rRNA from 1 species